rnacentral:rRNA from 1 species
GCAUAUCAAUAAGCGGAGGAAAAGAAACCAACCGGGAUUGCCUCAGUAACGGCGAGUGAAGCGGCAAGAGCUCAAAUUUGAAAGCUGGCCCCUUCGGGGUCCGCGUUGUAAUUUGCAGAGGAUGCUUCGGGUGCGGCCCCUGUCUAAGUGCCCUGGAACGGGCCGUCAGAGAGGGUGAGAAUCCCGUCUUGGGCAGGGUGCCCGUGCCCGUGUGAAGCUCCUUCGACGAGUCGAGUUGUUUGGGAAUGCAGCUCUAAAUGGGUGGUAAAUUUCAUCUAAAGCUAAAUACCGGCCGGAGACCGAUAGCGCACAAGUAGAGUGAUCGAAAGAUGAAAAGCACUUUGAAAAGAGAGUUAAACAGCACGUGAAAUUGUUGAAAGGGAAGCGCUUGCGACCAGACUCGGCCCCGGGGUUCAGCCAGCACUCGUGCUGGUGUACUUCCCCGGGGGCGGGCCAGCGUCGGUUUGGGCGGCCGGUCAAAGGCCCCAGGAAUGUAUCGCCCUCCGGGGUUGUCUUAUAGCCUGGGGUGCAAUGCGGCCAGCCCGGACCGAGGAACGCGCUUCGGCACGGACGCUGGCGUAAUGGUCGCAAACGACCCGUCUUGAAACACGGACCAAGGAGUCUAACAUCUACGCGAGUGUUCGGGUGUCAAACCCGUACGCGCAGUGAAAGCGAACGGAGGUGGGAGCCCCCCCGGGGCGCACCAUCGACCGAUCCUGAUGUCUUCGGAUGGAUUUGAGUAAGAGCGUAGCUGUGGGGACCCGAAAGAUGGUGAACUAUGCCUGAAUAGGGCGAAGCCAGAGGAAACUCUGGUGGAGGCUCGCAGCGGUUCUGACGUGCAAAUCGAUCGUCAAAUUUGGGUAUAGGGGCGAAAGACUAAUCGAACCAUCUGGUAGCUGGUUCCUGCGAA